UACGUAGGGUGCGAGCGUUGUCCGGAAUUAUUGGGCGUAAAGAGCUCGUAGGCGGUGUGUCGCGUCGGCCGUGAAAACCUGCAGCUUAACUGUGGGCGUGCGGUCGAUACGGGCAUCACUGGAGUUCGGCAGGGGAGACUGGAAUUCCUGGUGUAGCGGUGAAAUGCGCAGAUAUCAGGAGGAACACCGGUGGCGAAGGCGGAUCUCUGGGCCUUACCUGACGCUGAGGCGCGAAAGCUAGGGGAGCGAACAGG
rnacentral:rRNA from 1 species